rnacentral:rRNA from 1 species
AUGUCCAAUUUAGAAAAAAUAUCUCUCACACAAGGACAGCUUUUGAGUCCAGAUGAUAGCACAAAGUAUAGGAGUCUAGUGGGUGCACUCCAAUAUCUCACACUUACUAGACCUGAUAUUUCAUUUGCUGUCAACAAAGUCUGUCAGUUUCUCCAUGCACCUACCUCAGUUCACUGGACUGCUGCUAAACGUAUUGUUCGCUAUGUCAAGAAUACUGCCAAUGUUGGUCUGAAUUUCAGCAAGUCAUCCUCUACACUUGUAAGUGCUUUUUCAGACUCUGACUGGACAGGUUGCCUUGAUGACAGAAGGUCCAUUGGUGGCUUUGCAAUUUUCUUUGGCCCAAACUUAAUAUCCUGGUGUGCAAGAAAACAAGCCACUGUUUCCAGGUCCAGUACAGAGGCAGAGUAUAAGGCACUAGCCAAUGCCACAGCUGAGAUCAUAUGGGUACAAUCCAUGUUAAAAGAACUUGGUGUUAGGAGCAGUCAAGUUCCUUGUUUAUGGUGUGAUAACUUGGGUGCUACAUAUUUGUCUGCCAAUCCAGUGUUUCAUGCCAGGACAAAGCAUAUUGAGAUAGACUUUCACUUUGUGAGAGAAAGGGUUGCCAAGAAGCAACUUCAGAUUCGGUUUGUGCACUCCAGAGAUCAAAUUGCAGAUGGAUUCACAAAACCGUUACCUACAAGAAGCUUUGAAGAUUUUAAACAUAAUCUCAACUUGAUGAAGUUGUGA